rnacentral:lncRNA from 11 species
CUGCCUUCUCAGCUUCCUUUCUGGAAGAAUCCUUUCUUGGGAGGUGUUAGCUGGUCCUGAUUGUUUCCUUUGUGGAAUUUCCAAUUUCCUUGCUUUAUUUACUUUCUUUAUUUCUUUAUUUCUUUAUUACUUUAUUUACUGUCCUGGUUUUAGAGAUUAUAUUGUUCUGCAUUAUUCUAUCCCAGUAAUUAUUUCAUAUUAAAGAAGAAUCUCACUUAUCCAACAUUCGCUUAUACAAUGUUCUGGAUUAUCCAACGCAGUCUGCCUUUUCAUAAUCAAUGUUUUUGUAGUCAGUGUUUUAAAUUCAUUGUGAUAUUUUAGUGGUAAAUUUGUAAAUACAGUACAGUAGAGUCUCACUUAUCCA